rnacentral:misc_RNA from 1 species
GUCAGCUCCUCUGCAGCCGCUGGGUUUGCAGCAGUUAAUUCUUGACAUGCACUUCACUGUUGAAAUUGCACGAUUCGCGGGCUAUCCAUCAAGGCACGUGCAUCAAAUAUCAUCAGACAUAAUUGCACGUGCAGUGAGGACUUUUUCUGCCAGGGGCGUAGAUCCACAAAGUGCCCUACCCGAGGACGAAUGGUUCACUGAGACCGCAAAAGGAGCCAUAAACAAGCUUCUCCUAGGUGGUUCUGGAUCAGAUACAUCUGAGAUUGAUGAUGAACACAUCAUUAUGCAUGAUGAGGGGAUGUCGGACUCUGAUGGAUCGCCUUCUUCCCUCUCAAGUGCAGAUAGUUCUGAGUCAUUUGCCUCAGCAGAAAUGGGUGAUUUAGAUAGCCCUGUGUAUUUAUCUGAUCCUGAGAGUUAAAACAAUACUGUCAAGUUGUAUCUGUUGCAAGUACAUGUGUUAGGUUCUGUUGUAUCCAAAUGUUAUCAAUUAAAUGGUUUAUUU